CGGAGGAUCCAAGCGUUAUCCGGAUUUAUUGGGUUUAAAGGGUGCGUAGGCGGCUUUUUAAGUCAGGGGUGAAAGACGGUAGCUUAACUAUCGCAGUGCCUUUGAUACUGAAGAGCUUGAAUGGACUAGAGGUAGGCGGAAUGUGACAAGUAGCGGUGAAAUGCAUAGAUAUGUCACAGAACACCAAUUGCAAAGGCAGCUUACUAUGGUUUAAUUGACGCUGAGGCACGAAAGCGUGGGGAUCAAACAGGAUUAGAUACCCUGGUAGUCCACGCCCUAAACGAUGAACACUCGAUGUUAGCGAUAUACAGUUAGCGUCUAAGCGAAAGCGUUAAGUGUUCCACCUGGGGAGUACGCCCGCAAGGGUG
rnacentral:rRNA from 1 species